ACUGGUAGUGCUGGCAAUAGAGGAGAAAAAUAGCAACUGCUUCGGAAAAGAGGCAUUUUCUAUCGGUUGUAACGGUUCCUCAACGGAUAACGGUUCUAUCUGACGCCGGAUACGGAUAAUUGACAUAACUGGACUAACCGGAUUUAUGAGAAGAAGAUCAUUGCCUCAUCCCAGGACCCCUUCAGCUGAGACAGACUGCCAGUCAGUAACCACAUAGUGUAACACUCUCUGUAUCAGGGCACUGUAGUCCACAUCUAUUGGAGGAUCACUUAGUCUCAGUAUCUCACCUUUAACCCCUCACCCCCAGCCCUUGACCC
rnacentral:lncRNA from 1 species